rnacentral:rRNA from 1 species
AUUGAACGCUGGCGGCAUGCCUUACACAUGCAAGUCGAACGGCAGCACGGAGCUUGCUCUGGUGGCGAGUGGCGAACGGGUGAGUAAUAUAUCGGAACGUACCCAAGAGUGGGGGAUAACGUAGCGAAAGUUACGCUAAUACAGCAUACGAUCCAAGGAUGAAAGCAGGGGAUCGCAAGACCUUGUGCUCCUGGAGCGGCCGAUAUCUGAUUAGCUAGUUGGUGAGGUAAAGGCUCACCAAGGCAUCGAUCAGUAGCUGGUCUGAGAGGACGACCAGCCACACUGGAACUGAGACACGGUCCAGACUCCUACGGGAGGCGGCAGUGGGGAAUUUUGGACAAUGGGGGGCAACCCUGAUCCAGCAAUGCCGCGUGAGUGGAGAAGGCCUUCGGGUUGUAAAGCUCUUUUGUCAGGGAAGAAACGGUGAAGGCUAAUAUCCUUUGCUAAUGACGGUACCUGAAGAAUAAGCACCGGCUAACUACGUGCCAGCCGCCGCGGUAACAC